CUGAGGCUCAAGGAGGCUACAGAGAAAAGACCAAGCAGAACUGCGUCAGGCUCUCUCUGGGGGGUAAACCGCUGCUCACUGGUGACUGCGCCUGGACGACAGGAGGUCAGAACGGGGAACCGACUUCUCCGGAAGGAAGGAGGGUCACACAAUUGAGAAGAGAUGAGGCCUGGAUGGAGCCCUGGUCGCCUGACUCCAGAACCCACGUUCUGAAAUCGUCUGCACUUUCCACUGCGGGUGCAGCCUGAUGUGGAAACAAGGCUCGAAGGCUGACCCACAUAAUGAUGGUGAGAAAUACAAUGAGAGCCCACUGAGGUCUUGAGUCUACUGUCUCAACAAGUACCUACUGAACAUUCCACUAUAUGCCAGAGUCUGCACCGUGCCCAGGAGAUGUAACAGUGAGCAAGGGAGAGUCCUCCUCCCUUUAGGAGCACUAAUUCCAGGAGGGGCGGACAGACAAGACAGGAAAUGUUGGAAGUGUGGGCAGAAUGAGGUGACCAGAGCUAAUUUGGCAGGGCAGAGGACAAAGGUCUGCUCUGGGCUGUCUCAGCCCUGGCACUCCGGGGGACCCAGCAGAGCAAAGAUGAGGAAACUGAAGCUCAGAGAAGGACUUGACUUGUCUAAGGUCUGAAAUCACACAGCAAGGAACUGGCGGAGCUGGGAUCAGAACCCAGGCAUUUGACUCCAGAGUUGUUUAACCAGAACCACACACCUGACCCCGCCAGCUGCCCACAGGUAGGGAAGGGAAGAGGGAGAGCAUUCCACCCACCCAGGCUGAGCCUGCUUAGAGCCAGCCCCAUGCACCCCCAGGAUCCCUUGUGGUGUUGUGAGAGGGAAUAGCAACCGUGAGAGGAGUCACCCAGGGAUCUGAGGGCCACCACCACGUCCUUAGUGAAAGGACGCCCAGACCUACAGAACACCCAUAGGAGGCACUCACUUGUGAGUGGGUCCAGCCUGUGCCGGCUGGUGGGAGUCAUGGCUGGUCAUCCCACCUCAUUUUUAUGUGGGCCCAGUCCUACCACCUCAGUUUUCCCCGCUUUCCCUUCCCACACCUGGUCUCCAGUCUGCUCUGGAUCCCUCUUGCUGGACCGCUCCCACCCAUCCUACCUCCUCAGCAGACGAACCCGUGCAGCCUAGCGCUGUGCUCUCCAAUACAGUGGCCACUGACCACAUGUGGCUGUUGAGCACUUGAAAUGUAAUG